UAACUACUCCCUCCAUUCGGAAUUACUUGUCUCGAAAAUGGAUGUAUCUAAAACUAAAAUACAUCUAGAUACAUUCAUUUCUACGACAAGUAAUUUCGAACGGAGGGAGUAUUGC
rnacentral:pre_miRNA from 1 species